rnacentral:rRNA from 1 species
CAUAACCCCGGGAAACUGGGUAUAAUACCCGAUAGGUCUCGAUUGCUGGAAUGCAUCGAGAUUUAAAGCUCCGGCGCCUAAGGAUGGGUCUGCGGCCUAUCAGGUAGUAGUGGGUGUAGCGUACCUACUAGCCUACGACGGGUACGGGUUGUGAGAGCAAGAGCCCGGAGAUGGAUUCUGAGACACGAAUCCAGGUCCUACGGGGUGCAGCAGGCGCGAAAACUUUACAAUGCUGGCAACAGCGAUAAGGGAACCUCGAGUGCCAGGUUACAAAUCUGGCUGUCGAGAUGCCUAAAAAGCAUUUCAUAGCAAGGGCCGGGCAAGACCGGUGCCAGCCGCCGCGGUAACACCGGCGGCUCGAGUGGUAACCGUUAUUAUUGGGUCUAAAGGGUCUGUAGCCGGCCGGAUAAGUCUCUCGAGAAAUCUGGCAGCUUAACUGUCAGGCUUUCAGGAGAUACUGUCUGGCUCGAGGCCGGGAGAGGUGAGAGGUACUUCAGGGGUAGGGGUGAAAUCUUGUAAUCCUUGAAGGACCACCAGUGGCGAAGGCGUCUCACCAGAACGGACCUGACGGCAAGGGACGAAAGCUAGGGGCACGAACCGGAUUAGAUACCCGGGUAGUCCUAGCCGUAAACGAUACUCGCUAGGUGUCGGCCACGGUGCGACCGUUGUCGGUGCCGUAGGGAAGCCGUGAAGCGAGCCACCUGGGAAGUACGGCCGCAAGGCUGAAACUUGAAGGAAUUGGCGGGGGAGCACCACAACGGGUGGAGCUUGCGGUUUAAUUGGAUUCAACGCCGGAAAUCUUACCGGGACCGACAGCAAUAUGACGCCAGGCUGAGACUUUGCCGGAUUAGCUGAGAGUGGUGCAU